AUUGAACGCUGGCGGCAUGCUUUACACAUGCAAGUCGAACGGCAGCACGGACUUCGGUCUGGUGGCGAGUGGCGAACGGGUGAGUAAUACAUCGGAACGUGCCCAGUUGUGGGGGAUAACUACUCGAAAGAGUAGCUAAUACCGCAUGAGAACUGAGGUUGAAAGCAGGGGAUCGCAAGACCUUGCGCAACUGGAGCGGCCGAUGGCAGAUUAGGUAGUUGGUGGGAUAAAAGCUUACCAAGCCGACGAUCUGUAGCUGGUCUGAGAGGACGACCAGCCACACUGGGAGUGGGACACGGCCCAGAUCCCUACGGGAGGCAGGAGUGGGGAAAUUUGGAAAAUGGGCGAAAGCCUGAUCCAGUAAUGCCGCGGGCAGGAUGAAGGCCUUCGGGUUGUAAACUGCUUUUGUACGGAACGAAAAGCUUCGGGUUAAUACCCUGGGGUCAUGACGGUACCGUAAGAAUAAGCACCGGCUAACUACGUGCCAGCCGCCGCGGUAAGAC
rnacentral:rRNA from 1 species